CGGGAUGUAGCUCAGCCAGGUUAGAGCGCUGCGUUCGGGACGCAGAGGCCCCCAGUUCAAAUCUGGGCAUCCCGA
rnacentral:tRNA from 1 species